rnacentral:rRNA from 1 species
AUACGUAGGGGACGAGCGUUGUCCGGAAUUACUGGGCGUAAAGGGCGCGCAGGCGGAUAUUUAAGUCAGCUGUAAAAGGCAUGAGCUCAACUCAUGUAUGCGGUUGAAACUGGGUAUCUAGAGUGCUGGAGAGGUAGGCGGAAUUCCCGGUGUAGCGGCGAAAUGCGUAGAUAUCGGGAAGAACACCAGUGGCGAAGGCGGCUUACUGGCCAGCAACUGACGCUGAGGCGCGAAAGCCAGGGGAGCGAACGGGAUUAGAUACCCCGGUAGUCCUGGCCGUAAACGAUGAAUGCUAGGUGUGGGUGUCGAGAGGCAUCCGUGCCGGAGUUAACGCGAUAAGCAUUCCGCCUGGGGAGUACGAUCGCAAGAUUGAAACUCAAAUGAAUUGACGGGG